GAUGAAGAACGUAGCGAAAUGCGAUAAGUAAUGUGAAUUGCAGAAUUCAGUGAAUCAUCGAAUCUUUGAACGCACAUUGCGCCCGCCAGUAUUCUGGCGGGCAUGCCUGUUCGAGCGUCAUUUCAACCAUCAAGCCCCAGGCUUGUGUUGGGGACCUGCGGCUGCCGCAGGCCCUGAAAACCAGUGGCGGGCUCGCUGUCACACCGGGCGUAGUAGAUUUUAUCUCGCUCUGGGCGUGCUGCGGGUUCCGGCCGUUAACAAACCCUUUUAACCCAAGGUUGACCUCGGAUCAGGUAGGAAUACCCGCUGAACUUAAGCAUAUCAAUAAGCGGAGGA
rnacentral:misc_RNA from 1 species